rnacentral:rRNA from 1 species
AUUGAACGCUGGCGGAAUGCUUUACACAUGCAAGUCGAACGGCAGCACGGACUUCGGUCUGGUGGCGAGUGGCGAACGGGUGAGUAAUGUAUCGGAACGUGCCCAGUCGUGGGGGAUAACGUAGUGAAAAUUAUGCUAAUACCGCAUACGAUCUAUGGAUGAAAGUGGGGGAUCGCAAGACCUCGCGCGAUUGGAUCGGCCGAUAUCAGAUUAGGUAGUUGGUGGGGUAAAGGCCAACAAAGCCAACGAUCUUUAGCUGGGCUGAGAGGACGACCAGCCACACUGGAACUGAGACACGGUCCAGACUCCUACGGGAGGCAGCAGUGGGAAAUUUUGGACAAUGGGCGAAAGCCUGAUCCAGCCACUCCGCGUGCAGGAUGAAGGCCCUCGGGUUGUAAACUGCUUUUGUACAGAACGAAAAGGUUUCUACUAAUACUAGGAGCUCAUGACGGUACUGUAAGAAUAAGCACCGGCUAACUACGUGCCAGCAGCCGCCGUAA